UNNGCUGGCGGCAUGCCUUCNCAUGCAAGCUCGAACGGCAGCACGGGAGCCUGCUCCUGGUGGCGAGUGGCGAACGGGUGAGUAAUACAUCGGAACGUACCCAGGAGUGGGGGAUAACGUAGCGAAAGUUACGCUAAUACCGCAUAUUCUGUGAGCAGGAAAGCGGGGGAUCGCAAGACCUCGCGCUCUUGGAGCGGCCGAUGUCGGAUUAGCUAGUUGGUGAGGUAAAAGCUCACCAAGGCGACGAUCCGUAGCAGGUCUGAGAGGAUGAUCUGCCACACUGGGACUGAGACACGGCCCAGACUCCUACGGGAGGCAGCAGUGGGGAAUUUUGGACAAUGGGGGCAACCCUGAUCCAGCCAUGCCGCGUGAGUGAAGAAGGCCUUCGGGUUGUAAAGCUCUUUCGGCGGGGAAGAAAUGGCAACGGCUAAUAUCCGUUGUUGAUGACGGUACCCGCAUAAGAAGCACCGGCUAACUACGUGCCAGCAGCCGCGGUAAUACGUAGGGUGCGAGCGUUAAUCGGAAUUACUGGGCGUAAAGCGUGCGCAGGCGGUUUCGUAAGACAGACGUGGCGGUUUCGUAAGACAGACGUGAAAUCCCCGGGCUCAACCUGGGAACUGCGUUUGUGACUGCGAGGCUAGAGUACGGCAGAGGGGGGUAGAAUUCCACGUGUAGCAGUGAAAUGCGUAGAGAUGUGGAGGAAUACCGAUGGCGAAGGCAGCCCCCUGGGUUAGUACUGACGCUCAUGCACGAAAGCGUGGGGAGCAAACAGGAUUAGAUACCCUGGUAGUCCACGCCCUAAACGAUGUCAACUAGGUGUUGGAAGGGUUAAACCUUUUAGUACCGCAGCUAACGCGUGAAGUUGACCGCCUGGGGAGUACGGCCGCAAGGUUAAAACUCAAAGGAAUUGACGGGGACCCGCACAAGCGGUGGAUGAUGUGGAUUAAUUCGAUGCAACGCGAAAAACCUUACCUACCCUUGACGUGCCAGGAACUUUCCAGAGAUGGAUUGGUGCCCGAUUACCUACCCUUGACGUGCCAGGAACUUUCCAGAGAUGGAUUGGUGCCCGAAAGGGAGCCUGGACACAGGUGCUGCAUGGCUGUCGUCAGCUCGUGUCGUGAGAUGUUGGGUUAAGUCCCGCAACGAGCGCAACCCUUGUCAUUAAUUGCCAUCAUUUAGUUGGGCACUUUAAUGAGACUGCCGGUGACAAACCGGAGGAAGGUGGGGAUGACGUCAAGUCCUCAUGGCCCUUAUGGGUAGGGCUUCACACGUCAUACAAUGGUCGGUACAGAGGGUUGCCAAGCCGCGAGGUGGAGCCAAUCCCAGAAAGCCGAUCGUAGUCCGGAUCGCAGUCUGCAACUCGACUGCGUGAAGUCGGAAUCGCUAGUAAUCGCGGAUCAGCAUGUCGCGGUGAAUACGUUCCCGGGUCUUGUACACACCGCCCGUCACACCAUGGGAGUGGGUUCUACCAGAAGUAGUUAGCCUAACCGUAAGGAGGGCGAUUACCACGGUAGGAUUCAUGACUGGGGUGAAGUCGUAACAAGGUAGCC
rnacentral:rRNA from 1 species